AGCUUUCAGGCUCCUUUAGGAUUCUGAUCUUUCAAUGACCUGAAGAAAGCUCAUACUGAAAGGGCCCUCAUCUUUGUGUCCCACGGAGCCGGAGAGCACUGUGGCCGCUAUGAAGAGCUGGCUCGGAUGCUGAUGGGGCUGGACCUGCUGGUGUUUGCCCACGACCAUGUUGGCCACGGACAGAGU
rnacentral:sRNA from 1 species